rnacentral:pre_miRNA from 1 species
GGGGGGAGGCCGGAUCGUGGGCUGUGUCCUGGUGCCCUGUGUCGGGGGCCUGCGCUUUGGAUUCGCGCUCCAGCCCCGCAGCCCCCU